rnacentral:tmRNA from 1 species
GGGGGCGCCACGGUUUCGACUGAAGGUUAGAAACGCAGGCUGCAUGUGGAGGUUGAUCGGUUGGCCUCCUUAAAAGCCGAUCAAAAACAAUAAAUGCAGACUCUAACGAGCUCGCACUUGCUGCUUAAUUGACAGUGACGUUCAGCCCCCGACGCCUAUUGAGGGGAUGAGCGACUAUUUAGUAGGCUAGCGGGAAAGCCGGGGAACCGGGCCUACCGCGAAAUUAAACAGGUUUCUCGGAUCUUUGGACGGGCUGGUCGAGGCCCUUAGAUCUUAAAGCAGCAAACGACCAGCUACACACGUAGACGCCUGCGCGAAAGGUCUCCAGGACAGGGGUUCGACUCCCCUCGCCUCCACUU